rnacentral:rRNA from 1 species
GAUGAACGCUGGCGGCGUGCCUCAUACAUGCAAGUCGAGCGAACAGACGAGGAGCUUGCUCCUCUGACGUUAGCGGCGGACGGGUGAGUAACACGUGGAUAACCUACCUAUAAUACUGGGAUAACUUCGGGAAACCGGAGCUAAUAUCGGAUAAUAUAUUGAACCGCAUGGUUCAAUAGUGAAAGACGGUUUUGCUGUCACUUAUAGCUGGAUCCGCGCCGCAUUAGCUAGUUGGUAAGGUAACGGCUUACCAAGGCGACGAUGCGUAGCCGACCGGAGAGGGUGAUCGGCCACACUGGAACUGAGACACGGUCCAGACUCCUACGGGAGGCAGCAGUAGGGAAUCUUCCGCAAUGGGCGAAAGCCUGACGGAGCAACGCCGCGUGAGUGAUGAAGGUCUUCGGAUCGUAAAACUCUGUUAUUGGGGAAGAACAAAUGUGUGAGUAAAUAUGCACGUCUUGACGGUACCUAAUCAGAAAGCCACGGCUAACUACGUG